GCUGAAGUAGCUCAGUCGGUAGAGCACAUCACUCGUAAUGAUGAGGUCAUGGGUUCGAUUCCCAUCUUCAGCUCCA
rnacentral:tRNA from 1 species